UAAUUAAGUUUUGAAAUCUUAAGAUGUUAAUUUAAUACUGUUUUCCUUACUGAGCAUAUGGAACUCACUCUUUCCAUGCCCUCUUUUCAGAUGGGGAAGAAAGUGAGGAACUGCAGACUGACCUACCCUUGGAAGUCUAUGAGGAUCCUGUGGGUCCACAAGUCUGAGUGCAUGACUGUUCCCGCACUAUGAUGAAUCCAAUAGCAUAGUGAAAAAAGUGGCCUUUAUUAUUUGUAUUUUGUAGCCAUU
rnacentral:lncRNA from 1 species